rnacentral:rRNA from 1 species
UUUACACAUGCAAGUCGAACGGUAGAGGGGGCAACCCCUCGAGAGUGGCGAACGGGUGAGUAAUAUAUCGGAACGUGCCCAGUCGUGGGGGAUAACGUAGCGAAAGUUACGCUAAUACCGCAUACGAUCUACGGAUGAAAGCGGGGGACUCGCAAGAGCCUCGCGCGAUUGGAGCGGCCGAUAUCAGAUUAGGUAGUUGGUGGGGUAAAGGCUCACCAAGCCAACGAUCUGUAGCUGGUCUGAGAGGACGACCAGCCACACUGGAACUGAGACACGGUCCAGACUCCUACGGGAGGCAGCAGUGGGGAAUUUUGGACAAUGGACGCAAGUCUGAUCCAGCCAUUCCGCGUGCAGGAUGAAGGCCCUCGGGUUGUAAACUGCUUUUGUACGGAACGAAAAGGUCUCUCUUAAUACGAGGGGCUCAUGACGGUACCGUAAGAAUAAGCACCGGCUAACUACGUGCCAGCAGCCGCGGUAAUACGUAGGGUGCAAGCGUUAAUCGGAAUUACUGGGCGUAAAGCGUGCGCAGGCGGUUAUGUAAGACAGAGGUGAAAUCCCCGGGCUCAACCUGGGAACUGCCUUUGUGACUGCAUAGCUAGAGUACGGUAGAGGGGGAUGGAAUUCCGCGUGUAGCAGUGAAAUGCGUAGAUAUGCGGAGGAACACCGAUGGCGAAGGCAAUCCCCUGGACCUGUACUGACGCUCAUGCACGAAAGCGUGGGGAGCAAACAGGAUUAGAUACCCUGGUAGUCCACGCCCUAAACGAUGUCAACUGGUU